GUUAAAUGGGCAGACAGAUUGGAACUUGAGGGCUAUAGGUAAGAGAAAGAAAGUGGAGGCUUGAAGGCUAUAAUUUCUCUUUCUGUGGUGGUAACAAAAUCAGGGGAUGCAUGGAGUCAGGUGACUGCAGACUGGAACCAGAGCCGGGAAGAGCAAACUGCACAGAGCAUGGUAAGAAGGACCCCAGUCCUCAGGAUGUGCUAUGUGGCAAGAUGGAGAAGUCCUCACUGAAUCAGUUCCACACUCAGUGCCCAAGUCCCAGUGCCUGUGACCCCGCUUCCCAGUUGAUUGGAUCCUAGAUUUGACAGUUCCAUGUUUGAUUCUCCUUCCUUCCACUUCUUUACUUUAAAGCAAAACAAAAGAAAAAUAAGUUACCAGGCCCCUGACUUCUGGCCCCUGCUGAGAGCUCAAAGAAGACACUGCAUCUAAAAGAAUACUCAGUGGACCAGAGGCAGCGGUGCAUGCUCUGGCGUGCACUUGCGGUUCUCUGCUUAUAAUUUAGCCAUAUCCUUAUAUUCAGAAAAUUAAAUAGAAUCCUAGAAAUGAUAGUAAGCACAGAAAUUGUACAUUGUGACUCAUAUCAAGUGGAAAGCAGGAAGUCCUAAAACUGCCUCCUAAGUCAUCAGACUAGCUAGAGGGUGCCAUCAGCUUAAUUACAGGUUUGCACACUCAGAGAGGAUGGUGUAGAAAUGUUUGAGGAGAAAUACCCUUAUCAAGACACAUACAUACAGUAAACUGGAAUUACCAUCCAACCUAGACAAGAGUGUGUGUUGAAAUUGCCUGAGGAUAUUGUUCACACAGCAAACUGAUGUCAAUCUCAGAUCUUCUGACAUCUGUACACAUAUGAUAAUCAACAGAAUUCUGAUGAGAAUUGAGUAUUUUCUUCGGGACACAUCUGCAGCUUCUGUUUACCUUUCUUCCCUGUUCUGAAGGUGUUUGCUCACUUUCCUGUAGUUUUGAUUUGCUCACGAGGAUGCCCAGACAACAGGAAGGUAAGUACAUGCAUAAAUUGUGUUAGACCUUUGGGAAUUCCUUCCUCCGUUUCAGUAUUGUGGUUUUGGUUUUGUUUUCUUAAAAAAAAAAAAAUGGGUGAGAUGAAAGCCCAUUUUCUCAUUUAUAAAUAUCCCCAUGAGAACUGGUAGCUCUGUGAGCACAGAGAAGAGGCAUGGCAGACAACCGAUACAUCCUAUCUUUAGAAGUAUUGGCAGGUUUCUGUAGGAAAUACAGUUUAUUCUGGAAGACAUGGUUAUCAUAAUUU
rnacentral:lncRNA from 1 species